UAACCAGGUUAUAACCAGGUAAUGUCUCAGGAUAUAACCAGGUUAUAACCUGGUUAUAACCUGAAACAUUACCUGGUUAUAACCUGGUUA